rnacentral:rRNA from 1 species
GUCGAGCGGAACGAUGGGAGCUUGCUCCCAGGCGUCGAGCGGCGGACGGGUGAGUAACACUUAGGAAUCUACCUAGUAGUGGGGGAUAGCUCGGGGAAACUCGAAUUAAUACCGCAUACGUCCUACGGGAGAAAGGGGGCAACUUGUUGCUCUCGCUAUUAGAUGAGCCUAAGUCGGAUUAGCUAGUUGGUGGGGUAAAGGCCUACCAAGGCGACGAUCUGUAGCUGGUCUGAGAGGAUGAUCAGCCACACCGGGACUGAGACACGGCCCGGACUCCUACGGGAGGCAGCAGUGGGGAAUAUUGGACAAUGGGGGCAACCCUGAUCCAGCCAUGCCGCGUGUGUGAAGAAGGCCUUUUGGUUGUAAAGCACUUUAAGCAGUGAAGAAGACCCUAUGGUUAAUACCCGUGUGCGAUGACAUUAGCUGCAGAAUAAGCACCGGCUAACUCUGUGCCAGCAGCCGCGGUAAUACAGAGGGUGCAAGCGUUAAUCGGAAUUACUGGGCGUAAAGCGAGCGUAGGUGGCUUGAUAAGUCAGAUGUGAAAUCCCCGGGCUUAACCUGGGAACUGCAUCUGAUACUGUUAGGCUAGAAUAGGUGAGAGGAA